CUGGAUCGGAGUCUGGUAUGGUCAUUAUCUGCACCCGGAUCAUAGUGGAGACAGGGUAGACCCCAAGUAAGCAGGGGAGUUUGAUCUGUGUGGAUUUGUGGCAGUCAGGGAUAUAUUGAGUGAAGGAUAGGAAGUGUGAGAAUUAUUAUGGGCUAUUUAGUCCCUCACAUGGAGGAAACCUAUCUUUAAAG